rnacentral:rRNA from 1 species
UGGGGAAUAUUGCACAAUGUGCGCAAGCCUGAUGCAGCCAUGCCGCGUGUGUGAAGCAGGCCUUCGGGUUGUAAAGCACUUUCAGCGGGGAGGAAGGCGAUAAGGUUAAUAACCUCAUCGAUUGACGUUACCCGCAGAAGAAGCACCGGCUAACCCCGUGCCAGCAGCCGCGGUAAUACGGAGGGUGCAAGCGUUAAUCGGAAUUACUGGGCGUAAAGCGCACGCAGGCGGGCUGUCAAGUCGGAUGUGAAAUCCCCGGGCUCAACCUGGGAACUGCAUUCGAAACUGGCAGGCUAGAGUCUUGUAGAGGGGGGUAGAAUUCCAGGUGUAGCGGUGAAAUGCGUAGAGAUCUGGAGGAAUACCGGUGGCGAAGGCGGCCCCCUGGACAAAGACUGACGCUCAGGUGCGAAAGCGGGGGGAGCAAACAGG